rnacentral:rRNA from 1 species
AUUGAACGCUGGCGGCAUGCCUUACACAUGCAAGUCGAACGGCAGCACGGGAGCAAUCCUGGUGGCGAGUGGCGAACGGGUGAGUAAUGUAUCGGAACGUGCCCAGUCGUGGGGGAUAACGUAGCGAAAGCUACGCUAAUACCGCAUACGAUCUGUGGAUGAGAGCGGGGGACCGUAAGGCCUCGCGCGUUUGGAGCGGACGAUAUCAGAUUAGGUAGUUGGUGGGGUAAAGGCCUACCAAGCCGACGACCUGUAGCUGGUCUGAGAGGACGACCAGCCACACUGGGACUGAGACACGGCCCAGACUCCUACGGGAGGCAGCAGUGGGGAAUUUUGGACAAUGGGCGCAAGCCUGAUCCAGCAAUGCCGCGUGCAGGAUGAAGGCCUUCGGGUUGUAAACUGCUUUUGUACGGAGCGAAAAGGCUCUCUCUAAUACAGGGGGCUCAUGACGGUACCGUAAGAAUAAGCACCGGCUAACUACGUGCCAGCCGCCGCCGUAACAC